rnacentral:rRNA from 1 species
GACGAACGCUGGCGGCGGGCUUAACACAUGCAAGUCGAACGGAAAGGCCCUGCUUGCGUGUGGUGCUCGAGUGGCGAACGGGUGAGUAACACGUGAGUAUCCUGCCCUUGACUGUGGGAUAACUUCAGGCAACUGGGGAUACUACCGGCUAGGAGCUCCUGCUGCAGGGGGGGGGUUGGACAGUUUCGGCGGAUGUGGAUGGACUCUCGGCUUAUCAGCUUGUUGGUGGGGUAGCGGCCUACCAAGUGUUUGGCUGGUAGCCCGCCUGGGAGCGUGGCCGGCGACCUUGCUACUGCGGUACGGCGCAGUCUCCUACAGUGGGCAGCAGUGGGGAAUAUUGUCCAACGGGCGCAAGCCUGAUGCGGAGGCGCCCCGUGUGGGAUGAAGGCCUUCUUGUUGUAAACCGCAUUCGCCUGUGACCAAGCUUGAGUGACGUUAAUGGGAAAAGAAGCACCGGCUAACUACGUG